UUUCCGUAGGUGAACCUGCGGAGGGAUCAUUAUUGUAUAACCGAAGUGAGAGGGCUGUCUCUAACCCGAUAGGUCGUGCACGCGCGAGUGCCCUCACACACCUCCAUCGCCCCCCUAUGUGCACCACCGCGUGGGUCCCCAUGUUGCUUGUUCGUGGGGGAGCUUAACUGUUAACACAAUCUUUAUCUGCAGUGUAGGCUGUAUUUUUUGUUUUUGCGAUAGCGCAAUCAAUACAACUUUCAACAACGGACAUCUUGUCUCUCGCAUCUAUGAAGAACC
rnacentral:misc_RNA from 1 species